AUGUAAACAACAUGAAAGCACAGUAUGUUCUAGUCAAUUGAGGAAGUGGUUUUAUUCAGCAGACCUUGCACGCAAUCAUAAGUUAUCGGCUAGGCUGGGGCCGUACGGAGAGACACAUGGGAGUACUCUGUGUCACUGGAGAGCAGGUUCCUGUCGUAGCAGGGUCUGAUCAGCUCCGAGAAGGCAGUCAACGUGUCUGCUGGGGCCUUCCUUCUCUUACUUCUGUUCCUUCUCCUCCUUUGGCCAGGUGGGGCCCCUGCAACCAGCACAGGCUUGAAAGGGAACUUGUGGCGAUCUCUUUCAUGACAUUCUGCUGCAUAUAUAGUUACUGUAAAGAGAUCUCCUGCUGCUCAGAGAGAAUGGCCACUCAAGGGGAAAUUUGCAGGGUAUGGAGUGAGGAGUGGGGGAGUGAGGUUAGAUUGUACUAUCUGUAAUGUAAUUGUACUAUCUGUAUUUUUAGGUUAAAUUGUAAAUUAUGGCUACUAUUCCCCUUAGUAUUAGCUAGACCCCCCUUAGUAUUAGCUAAACUUUGCUCCUUUUGUAUAGUUAGUUUGUAUAGUUGUUUGUGCAAACAUUCAUGGCGAAUAAAAUCCCUUCUGUUUCUGAUAGAGGGUGGAGGAGAAGGAGGAGUAGGGUGGUAGUGUGGGGUUAAAGGGUGGAGGUGUACUGAAUUGAGACAGGUUUGAUACAUUUAUGCAAAUUGUUGACUAUCAGCUGUUUUAUCAACCCAAGGAGUGCAUGCAUGUUUGAGUUCAACUGUGUGCAAUUGACUUCAAUAAAAGGAAGUUUUCACAAAAGGAGUUCUUGGCGCAUUUUUCUGAAUAUGUGCUGGGGCUGUUGCAGUAAAAACCACAAUUUAGACGUUAGAGACAUAGGAAAGGGAACCGGAGUUGCAUUUAUCAUGGACGCAAAGAAACACCCUUCCUACACAACACUACCCUACGUUUACCAACCCUUGUGUGGCUUUUUCUGGAUCAAAGCCAAUUUUAUAUAAGUUGCCACCUUCAACACACACACACAAAUGGACCCACUCACACACACAAAUGGACCCACACACAUAUGACCACGCACACAGGCAAAGAGACCCACAUCCAAACU